rnacentral:rRNA from 1 species
UUGCUCGCACUUUCCAUAUGGAGCUGGGAGUGUUUGCCGGUUGGACGUCCGAAGAAGAUGAAGUACGAUGAUUGGGACGACAAAGGCAACCUACUACGGCUACCCACUUGGGCUUACAAGUGGGAUGUGAUAAAUGAGACGACAGAUGAUCCCUCGAUCAUGUACAAGUUGUACCAGAGCGAGCUUGACGCGAUCAUGCCUCAGCAGGUGAAUUGA